UUUUUUUCAGGUGGGUAGUAGACACUCCUAAUUCUACUGUCGGACACUUGUCCAUUUUUUCCGCUCAAGUGGGCAUCUUUGUACCUAAUUCUAAUCCGGACACUUGUCCAUUUUACCUCUCGUCUCACUCUUUUUCUUUCUUUGUUGAGGUUCUGGGCACUUGCCCCUUUUUUAUUUCCUCGCAUAUUUUUGCAUAACCCAUGCCUCUUCUGCAUUGAACCUUUUUAGAGAGAGAGAAUAACAACACUUGAGAUAGUGAGUGAUAAUAUUAUUUUUAGCAAUUUUAAUGCGCGGUGGUGAAUGGUGU
rnacentral:lncRNA from 1 species